ACGAACGCUGGCGGCGUGCUUCACACAUGCAAGUCGCACGGAAAGGCCCUGCUUGCAGGGUACUCGAGUGGCGAACGGGUGAGUAACACGUGGGUGAUCUGCCCUGCACUUCGGGAUAAGCCUGGGAAACUGGGUCUAAUACCGGAUAGGAGCCAUUUUUAGUGUGAUGGUUGGAAAGUUUUUUUCGGUGUAGGAUGAGCUCGCGGCCUAUCAGCUUGUUGGUGGGGUAAUGGCCUACCAAGGCGGCGACGGGUAGCCGGCCUGAGAGGGUGGACGGCCACAUUGGGACUGAGAUACGGCCCAGACUCCUACGGGAGGCAGCAGUGGGGAAUAUUGCACAAUGGGCGCAAGCCUGAUGCAGCGACGCCGCGUGGGGGAUGACGGCCUUCGGGUUGUAAACUCCUUUCGCUAGGGACGAAGCUUUUUGUGACGGUACCUAGAUAAGAAGCACCGGCUAACUACGU
rnacentral:rRNA from 1 species